GUCGCACGAGAAAGGGGAGCAAUCCCUGAGUAAAGUGGCGCACGGGUGAGUAACACGUGAAUAAUCUACCUCCGAGUGGGGAAUAACUGAGAGAAAUCUUAGCUAAUACCGCAUAAUACCCACGGGUCAAAGCAGCAAUGCGCUUGGAGAGGAGUUCGCGGCCGAUUAGCUAGUUGGCGGGGUAAUGGCCCACCAAGGCGAUGAUCGGUAUCCGGCCUGAGAGGGCGCACGGACACACUGGAACUGAAACACGGUCCAGACUCCUACGGGAGGCAGCAGUGGGGAAUUUUGCGCAAUGGGGGAAACCCUGACGCAGCAACGCCGCGUGGAGGAUGAAGCCCCUUGGGGUGUAAACUCCUUUCGAUCGGGAAGAUGAUGACGGUACCGAUAUAAGAAGCCCCGGCUAACUUCGUGCCAGCAGCCGCGGUAAUACGAGGGGGGCAAGCGUUGUUCGGAAUUAUUGGGCGUAAAGGGUGCGUAGGCGGUUUGACAAGUCUGAUGUGAAAUCUAUGGGCUCAACCCAUAGUCUGCAUCGGAAACUGUCGGGCUUGAGUAUGGGAGAGGUGAGUGGAAUUUCCGGUGUAGCGGUGAAAUGCGUAGAUAUCGGA
rnacentral:rRNA from 1 species